CAGUCGCAAUGUAAUAUCUACGACGGUUCAUGCGAACUUUUUUCAGAACAGCUGCAUCAUUUUUUACUUAUACAUUGUUUUUACUAAUCAUAUCAUAUAUCGUAUAGCUUCCUCCUUCUCCUUUGUUAUGCUUGCGCGCACAGAUCUAGAUCUAACGUUUCAUUCUCAUUAUCAAAAAUCUCCCAAAUCUAAAAAAAAAAGUAAAAAAUCCCCCAUAUAUCGUAGAGAAAACCCCAAAAUUUCCCUCUCAUUCACAAAACCCCCAAAUCCCUAAUCUCACAAACCCUUUGAAUCCAUGAAACACGGUUCAAGGUGAGAUUGAGAUUCAACCAAAUGAUCUAGAUCUAAACGAGUUCGGGGCUUCAAACUAUUCAUGGUCAAAGGUAUAUUCUCUUGCAAUCUCAUCACGCCCAAGGUUUAGGGUUUGCAAGAACUUGGCUACGGCGGAACUUUCGGUUAUCCAUAGUUACUUAUAUUUGUGUUCCUGCUGCAAGAAGUGUUUAAUUUAGAUCGAUGGUAGUCUGAAUAUCCUUUUGGGUAGCAAAGGUAAGUGUCAAAUUAGCCUUUCAUCCUUUUUUCUAUAUGAAAACAAUUUGACUUUUUUUUUAGUUGAAUAGAUUAAACAUAAGUACUUCUAGCUACGACUAAUGGAGCAACAUGACUAAAGGGAUGCCUAGAUAUUUGUAUUGGGUUUUAAUUAUGAUACAAUUGUUUUGAACGUCUAGCCAUUAGUAUUGUACUUUAUCUGUUGUUUUGAUUGUUAAUAUUGAAAGAAUUAUAUUUAUGGGAUUUAGAUAUUUUUAGUUA